GAUGAAGAACGUAGCGAAAUGCGAUAAGUAAUGUGAAUUGCAGAAUUCAGUGAAUCAUCGAGUCUUUGAACGCACAUUGCGCCCCCUGGUAUUCCGGGGGGCAUGCCUGUCCGAGCGUCAUUGCUGCCCUCAAGCACGGCUUGUGUGUUGGGCCGCCGUCCCCGGUUUCCCCCGGGGACGGGCCCGAAAGGCAGCGGCGGCACCGCGUCCGAUCCUCGAGCGUAUGGGGCUUUGUCACCCGCUCUGUAGGCCCGGCCGGCGCCAGCCGACACCCAACUUUAUUUCUAAGGUUGUCCUCGGAUCAGGUAGGGAUACCCGCUGAACUUAAGCAUAUCAAUAAGCGGAGGA
rnacentral:misc_RNA from 1 species